ACAUGGAAGUAACAGACCGGACUAUAUGGAAAACUCGAUCGCCAGGAGUAGAGCAGUGGCGUGUGUCGAUCUAGCAACACUUAAUUAAGCAUCGAUAAUCGCAGCGAGUUCAUGGUGAAAUGUUUCUGAUACUUGUUCCACGCUAGUUGAGAAACCAUGUCACUCGAAUUUGCAAGUUUGCUCGAGUCAUUGAAUUGUGUUUUGAAUUAAUAUUGGCUUCUAGAGGGCUACGUUGAUUUGAAAGGAUUGUUAUUUAUUUGAACCGUUUUGAGGAAAAUUUCUUUUUCAGCAAAAAAAAAAACAAUAAUACAAUAGUAUGAAUUAUAAUGCGAAAUUUGAAAGAAAGGAACGAGUUAAAUAUGAUAUGCAAAAUGAGAAAUAUAGUGGCGGAAAUUCCUUCAAAUGAUAUUGCGUAUAUACAGGGUGGUUGGUAACUGGUAGUACAAGCGGAAAGGAGGUGAUUCUACGCGAAAAAAGAAGUCGAAAAUGUAGAAUAACAAUUUUUCGUUUGAGGCUUUGUUUUCGAGAAAAUCGACUUUGAAUUUUCGAUGGGUACGCGUGCACUUUAUCGCGUCUCGUUAUAACGGAUCUCACUGUAGAUCGUCAUCUCGAUGGAAAACUAAAAAAAAAUUUUUAUUCUAUAUUUUCGGCUUCUUUUUUCGCGCAGAAGCGUAGACGCGUUUUUCGCGUGAGAUCCGUUAUAACGUACCAUACGCGUACCGAGCGAAAAUUCAAAGUCGAUUUUCUCGAAAACAAAGCCUCAAACGAAAAAUUUGUAUUCUAUAUUUUCGACUUCUUUUUUCGCGUAGAAUCGCCCCCUUUCCGUUUGUACCACCAGUUACCAACCACCCUGUAUAAUGGUACAUCAUUGUUGCUAAGUUAUAUUUGAGAGGACACCGGUACAUAGGUGUGCAAUGCGAUUCGAUAAAUCACGCGUCCGCUAUCGCGUUUUGUAAACACCUUGUAAUCAAGAGAAGCUCUUGUCAACGACCACAGAAAACGUAACUCUAUAGCGAACAGAUACUAGCGAACAAUAUUUACAAAUGAACUUGUACUUCUAAAUUAUUCAUUGAAAAAGAGAAACAGACAUUUUCAGAGGUAAUAAUGAAACAAGAUAAUAAUUCUCAAUUCUGUCACAAACAGACAACAACAAACGAUAUUUUCAAACAAAGUAGUACUCUUACAUUAUUCAAAAAAAAAAAAAAAAAAAGAUUUCAAAAGUAAUAACAACAAACAUCAUAAUGCUAUGGUAAUCAGAUAGUAACGAGUAAUAACUCUGUACUCUUGCAUUAUUCCUUAAAAAAAAAGAAGAAAAAUAUAAAAAGCAGAAA